rnacentral:rRNA from 1 species
AUUGAACGCUGGCGGCAGGCCUAACACAUGCAAGUCGAGCGGAGCGGCGGACGGGUGAGUAAUGCCUAGGAAUCUGCCUGGUAGUGGGGGAUAACGUCCGGAAACGGGAGCUAAUACCGCAUACUAUCAGAUGAGCCUAGGUCGGAUUAGCUAGUUGGUGGGGUAAUGGCCUACCAAGGCGACGAUCCGUAACUGGUCUGAGAGGAUGAUCAGUCACACUGGAACUGAGACACGGUCCAGACUCCUACGGGAGGCAGCAGUGGGGAAGAUUGGCCAAUGGGCGAAAGGCUGAUCCAGCCAUGCCGCGUGUGUGAAGAAGGUUUUCGGAUUGUAAAGCUCUUUAAUUAGGGAGGCUGUACCAACAGAGUAAGCCCCGGCUAACUUCGUGCCAGCAGCCGCGGUAAUAC